rnacentral:misc_RNA from 1 species
GCACCAGGCGCCGCCGCUCGAGGUGGGCUUUCGCGUUUGACCGAGGCCGAGAGGGCAGAAGCCCGGAAAGAAGCGGCACGUAAGCAUGCUCGUGAUUUUCGAAAGCGCCAAGCAGCAGACCCCGCAGCCACACAAGCUCGCAGAGAAGCGGACCGGGAACGGAAAAGAGUCGCGAGGAAAAGACUGUUAGAAUUGGGCGAUGGAGCCUUACAGCGCUUACAGGCCCUUAGAGAAGCGGAUCGGGAGCGCAAGAGGACCGCAAGGAAGCUCCAGGCGGAAGCAGUCGCACAAGCCCGAAGAGAAGCGGAUCGCGAACGCAAGAGAGCCGCGAGAAUACGCACAGCGGAAGAUGAUGGUGUGGUCGCGCAAGCCCGACGAGAAGCGGAUCGCGAACGCAAGAGAGCAGCGAGAAAACGCAGUGCGGAAGAUGGUGGUGUCGUCGCACAAGCCCGACGAGAAGCGAAUCGCGAACGCUUGAGGGCCGCGAGAAAACGCAGUGCGGAAGAUGGUGGUGUCGCACAUGCCAGUAGUAGAGAAGCGGACCGGGAACGGAAAAAAGCCGCUAUAAAACGGCAAGCAGAAGAGAACACCUAACGGCAGCAGUAGCAGCACAGAUUCGCGGUGGGAAGAGGCAUACUUGGGCAGCUGGUUCAAUAUCAGCAGCCAGUUUGGAGCCCCCUGCGACUUGUGCAAUCGCCCGUGCUACCAAGACAGUCUGUGGCCACCGCUCCCGAUGUAUGCGGAUUUGCUGGUGCAUCUGUUCCCUGGGAAGAACGCUAGUGCUCUCCACGUGUGUGCCUCGUGCCGGACGACCCUGCGAGAGAACGAGACGCCCGAUCUUUCUCAGACCCUCGGUGCGGUCUCUCCACUACGUGUACGUAGUGUCCACGUGCAAAGCUUGGAGAGUUGAAAUGUUUUCGAGCUGAGAAUGAGCAGUCUAGCUCUAGGUGCGGACGCAAGUCACUUCCUGCCGGAUCCACUACAGCUGUGCAAGCGGACGCUUCUGUGCAGUGCAGUCGGAAAGCAGAUGUUGGUGUCAAGUCCACACAGGUGGAGCUGUUUUCAUCUACGGUCGCCAGGUCAGCGCACUGUGAAGAUCUGAUGGACUGUUGUGGUGCUCCUUUUCUUGUGGAACAGCCGCUGCCAGACAAAGGUCCAGCACCCUGCAUUUUGGAUGGAUGAUGAUUUAGCGCCCUGUGUAAAACUGUUUGGGCUUACGUCAAGAGGAACUGUUUGCAAGCGGAACCAUUGAAAUGGCCACUGCGAUAUAAAAUCUCAGGUAAUUGGCU